GCAGACGUCGCAUAGCCUGGUAUUGCGCCGGAUUUGAAAUCCGGUGCCCUUUGUGGCACGGGAGUUCGAAUCUCUCCGUCUGCG
rnacentral:tRNA from 2 species